rnacentral:rRNA from 1 species
AAUUACAUGGCAAGUCGAGCGAAUGGAUUAAGAGCUUGCUCUUAUGAAGUUAGCGGCGGACGGGUGAGUAACACGUGGGUAACCUGCCCAUAAGACUGGGAUAACUCCGGGAAACCGGGGCUAAUACCGGAUAACAUUUUGAACCGCAUGGUUCGAAAUUGAAAGGCGGCUUCGGCUGUCACUUAUGGAUGGACCCGCGUCGCAUUAGCUAGUUGGUGAGGUAACGGCUCACCAAGGCAACGAUGCGUAGCCGACCUGAGAGGGUGAUCGGCCACACUGGGACUGAGACACGGCCCAGACUCCUACGGGAGGCAGCAGUAGGGAAUCUUCCGCAAUGGACGAAAGUCUGACGGAGCAACGCCGCGUGAGUGAUGAAGGCUUUCGGGUCGUAAAACUCUGUUGUUAGGGAAGAACAAGUGCUAGUUGAAUAAGCUGGCACCUUGACGGUACCUAACCAGAAAGCCACGGCUAACUACGUGCCAGCAGCCGCGGUAAUACGUAGGUGGCAAGCGUUAUCCGGAAUUAUUGGGCGUAAAGCGCGCGCAGGUGGUUUCUUAAGUCUGAUGUGAAAGCCCACGGCUCAACCGUGGAGGGUCAUUGGAAACUGGGAGACUUGAGUGCAGAAGAGGAAAGUGGAAUUCCAUGUGUAGCGGUGAAAUGCGUAGAGAUAUGGAGGAACACCAGUGGCGAAGGCGACUUUCUGGUCUGUAACUGACACUGAGCGCGAAAGCGUGGGGAGCAAACAGAUUAGAUACCCUGGUAGUCCACGCCGUAAACGAUGAGUGCUAA